rnacentral:rRNA from 1 species
GUUCCUACGGGGCGCAGCAGUGGGGAAUAUUGCACAAUGGGGGAAACCCUGAUGCAGCGACGCCGCGUGGGUGACGAAGUAUUUCGGUAUGUAAAGCCCUAUCAGCAGGGAAGAAGAUGACAGUACCUGACUAAGAAGCCCCGGCUAACUACGUGCCAGCAGCCGCGGUAAUACGUAGGGGGCAAGCGUUAUCCGGAUUUACUGGGCGUGAAGGGGGCGCAGGCGGCGCGCCAAGCCCGAUGUGAAAGCCCGGGGCUCAACCCCGGGACUGCAUUGGGAACGGGCGUGCUGGAGGGCCGGGGGGG